AGCAAGGAUGUGCUAGAUAAGAUCUCAGCUGUGGUCCUUGGCUCCUGGAGAAAGCUAACAUGCCUAAACCAAAGAGUAUUAUGCCCCACCCAAUCUAAUUAGUUUCUUCCACUCAGACUCAUAUGCCUAGUAUUGGAAUGGGAGGUGGGGCUAUGGAAGGUAAAACUUAGGAAGUUGCAUCUCGAAUAAUAUCACAGCACCAGCAUUUGAGAAAGCAGUCCUCAGCACUACCUCUUCAGCUCCAGGCAAAGCAGCUUACCACCGUGGGUUGGAGGUACCAGUUGAUUGUCAUACAAUUUCCCGGCAUUUUACAAACAUGAGUAGUCAAGUUUCUAGAUUCCCUAGGGCCCAAAAGCCCAGGAAGAGAAUAUAAUCUCCAUUUCCCUCAAGAAUGUAUACAUACACACACACACAGGUGCAAAUUCGAGUUUGGAAACAAAGACAACGAAGGCUUUUUGUAGGAGAAAAAGUUUCCGUAAAUAAAGAAAAGUUCUUGGCCUGGAGCAUGGUGCAUGCCCCUAGUCCCAGCGCUUAGGAGAAGGCAGAAGAAUCAGAAUUGCAAGAAUAUCCUUAGAUACAUAGCUGAGUUUGCGGAGGCCAGCCUGGGCUACAUGUGCCUUAUCUCAAAACAAAAAGGAAAACAUUUACUAGUGACUCGAGGAUGGUGCGGAGAAACAAGAAAGACAUUUAGAGACGGGAAAGUCAUGGAAACAAAAGCAACACAGAGUGUCUGGGAGAGGCUGGGAAACAGACGCAAGACUUAGAAGAGGGGUGGGGGAGAGAAGAAAGAAAACGGAAAUACGGUCCUAUGGAUUCCGAAAAGACUAUAAAAUCAGGAUGUAAAGCUCUCAGCUACUUCUCCAGCACCAUACCUAUCUGCCUGUCAACACAUUUCCUGCCAAGAUGAUAAUGGACUAACCCUCUAAAGCUGUAAACAAGCCCCCAAUUAAAUGCUUUCUUCUAUAAGUUGCCUUGGUCAUGGUGUCUCUUUAUGGCAAUAGAACAGUAACUAAGGCUUCUGGGAGGGACAGACCCAUUGUCGAUCAAAUAGUGUGGCUGAGAACAGGGUAGAGUUAGUAGCUAAACACAGGGUAGAAGAAAAGGAAAUUGUCCACGAUGCUGAAUUGCCC
rnacentral:lncRNA from 1 species